rnacentral:rRNA from 1 species
UACGUAGGGUGCAAGCGUUGUCCGGAAUUAUUGGGCGUAAAGAGCUCGUAGGCGGUCUGUCGCGUCGAAUGUGAAAACCCGAGGCUCAACUUCGGGCCUGCAUUCGAUACGGGCAGACUAGAGUUCGGUAGGGGAGUCUGGAAUUCCUGGUGUAGCGGUGAAAUGCGUAGAUAUCGGGAGGAACACCAGUGGCGAAGGCGGCUUUCUGGGGUAUUUCUGACGCUGAGGCACGAAAGCCAGGGGAGCGAACGGG